AGAGUUUGAUCCUGGCUCAGAGUGAACGCUGGCGGCGUGCUUAACACAUGCAAGUCGAACGAGAACGGCUUAUUGAACCUUCGGGGGAUAUAAGUGUCAGCUAAGUGGCGCACGGGUGAGUAAUAUAUAGGUAACGUGCCUCUAAGAGGGGGAUAACAGUUGGAAACGACUGCUAAUACCCCAUAUGCCCUUGUAACAUAAGUUACUAGGGGAAAUGGUUUAUUCCGCUUAGAGAUCGGCCUGUACAGUAUCAGCUUGUUGGUAGGGUAACGGCUUACCAAGGCUAUGACGCUUAACUGGUUUGAGAGGAUGAUCAGUCACACUGGAACUGAGACACGGUCCAGACUCCUACGGGAGGCAGCAGUGGGGAAUAUUGCACAAUGGAGGAAACUCUGAUGCAGCAACGCCGCGUGGAGGAUGACACUUUUCGGAGCGUAAACUCCUUUUAUAUGAGAAGAUAAUGACGGUAUCAUAUGAAUAAGCACCGGCUAACUCCGUGCCAGCAGCCGCGGUAAUACGGGGGGUGCAAGCGUUACUCGGAAUCACUGGGCGUAAAGAGGGCGUAGGCUGGAUAAUAAGUUGGAAGUGAAAUCCUAUGGCUCAACCAUAGAACUGCUUCCAAAACUAUUUUCCUAGAGUAUGGGAGAGGUAGAUGGAAUUUCUGGUGUAGGGGUAAAAUCCGUAGAGAUCAGAAGGAAUACCGAUUGCGAAGGCGAUCUACUGGAACAUUAUUGACGCUGAGG
rnacentral:rRNA from 1 species